UGUGUUGUAAUAACUUAAUACUCUGAUGUGGUGCCGCUUCGACGGCAAUGAAUGACUAUGUAACAAUCGUUGUGUUUAUGUUGAACUAUUACGAUCUUGGUUUGUUGCGAGUUGGUUUGAAGUCCUUCGUGAUUUCGAUUGACUACCGGGAUUAUAUGGGCUCAAGUCUAGAAACUUGAUUGCUUGACGAUCGUUUCUGCACUUGAACUCUUAUAAUUUGGUCGGUUCUGUGACAGCCUAUGAUCUAUGUCAUAUACCAUAGCAUAAGAACUAUACUCUAGUUCAUAUGAAGAACUAUAUCAGACAUGAUAAGGCAUGGACUUGGAGUAAAGAUAUUCUUUAUUCAUACCCAAGUUUCUCUCCAAGGAGCUAAGGCCUCCUUGAUAGCUCACCCAACUCUCUCUCUAAAAGCUAAAAGGAAAAACUAAGAAGAGGUAGUGCCCAAGUGCCUUGAAGGUGGAGUGUUGAUUGUGAAUGUGAUGAGAUGAUUGGAGCCUCCCUCUCCCCCUCCUUAAAUAGGUGGGGAAGGUCGGUUCCCCAGGGUGUAAACUACAAUUUGCACGCGGGGACUGCGGGAGGAUAGGCUCAGCACCGCCUCUGCGAAAGGCGGUGCCGAGAUGGGCUGGGUCAGGGUCGGCCGACCCUAGGGGGCGGCUGCCCCCUGGUGGGCCCCGCUGGCCCCGGCCCGAAGCCCGUUGCCUUCCUCUCGGGCCCCUGAGUCUAGAUCCACCUGCAAAUUGAUGCACUUCUAUAUUGGGCUUUUGGGUACUUGUUUAUUUGCGCAUUUUUGACGUGUCGGAUUGUGCCUUUUUAUUUGCUUUCCACCUGUAUGCCUGUAUAUGAUCUGCAAAACACAACUUGCACUACAUGUGGAACUUGGUAAGCAUUUAAUAAGUAUAUGUGAGUAAAAUACAUGCUUUUCUUCCUUUGCAUGGACUAUGUUGGCGGGGUAAAUAUGUCAUUAAGAACCGCCAACAAACUCCCCGAAGCUUACCCCUUGCUCGUCCUCGAGCAAGAAGCUAAGAUCUUGGUUGUUGAUCAGGAGUUGCUACAAUAUUUUCACUUCUAUCUAGUACAAACCUUCAAACAAGAAUUCUCCUUUGAAUUUUGAACAGAUGUGUCAUGGGGCUUAUUGCUCAUACCUCGAGUUCUUAAGCAUUUGCAGCAUGGAUUUGAUCAGAUCGAGCACUAUAUCCCUAGUUCUUUACUUCACUUUUGUUCCGGAGUCUUUUUAAUUUUCAAAACUUAGCACAUUUAUUUGUCAAAUUAAACAAUGGAUCCAAAGUGAAAGUUAAUCAUACCAUUGAAUUUUUGAAAACUUUUUCUUUUCCAUCAUUCUCUUUUUGUCUAUUAGAGACACAUGGCUAUGUAGCUAAUUCUACUGUUGGGCACUUGCCCAUUUUUUUUUAUUUUUUCGAGGUUCCGGACACAUGUCCCUUUUUAUUUCCUCGUGAUCUUUCUUUUUGAGGUUUCGGACACAUGUCCCUUUUUAUUUCCUCGGAUGCUUUUUUUUCUUUUUCAUAGUCAUAUGCCUUCUAACAAACUUUUGAGAUGAUAACAUAAUGAAAUAUUUUUGUUUUCAAUUGUAUGACAACCUCUCAAAGGGUCAACAAAGCUUAAUCUAACUCAAUGUGAUUAUUUUAUUUUUGUAAAAACUCCAGAACUCUAGCGUUGUUUAGAACAGGAUACUAGCAGCUCAGAUCAUCACAAAUAUAUCCAUUAAUUACUUUAGACUUUAGAUAGAGCAUUUUGCAACCCACGCAUUUAAUCAUUUUAUUAAUUUGGAGAAUUCAAGGUUGAAACAAGAUACUGGAAAGAAAUUACGAUAGAGCAACUAUUCAUCAUUUCAACAAGGAAGAAGCAUAUAUCUUACAUCACAUAUAAGAGUGGAAUUAUAUUUUUGUCUUUUUAGCAUUUUUCAUUUUUUUAUAUGCAAUAAUUAAAACAUGAAUUUAACUAAUGGAAAUUUCAUAAAGUAAACAUGCUAAUUUAAAAUUAAGGAUGCAUGAAAAUAAAUAUGCAAUGCAGAUAACCUCGAGAUUGGGGGUCCUCCCCCAAGCUAGCUUCUGGCCUACUGAUCGAGGUUGUACCCCAUGUACCGCCAGAAGUCUUGGGACUGUUUCAGCAGCUGAUCUUAGCGAGCUUGCAUUUCUUCUUGCUGCUGCUGGUGUCAGGCCUGUUGUUGCUGUUGCCAUAGCAACCCUUGCUCGUGCCACUCCACGGCCUGCUGGUGGUGCGCAUCGGUGGUUUGGAUGUGUUGUUGGACAGUAUCCUGGAUCUCAUCCGUGCACACCACCAGUCCCUCAAGCUGAGCUUGGAGGCGCUCCAAGUCGGUUCGGCCUACUGUGGAGGCCGAAGGAUGUUCUUCUGGUGAUUCGGCCCUCCAGCGCGAUUGUUGUUCCCAAGCGCUGGAAUCCGCCUCAGCCCACCCCUCAACACCUUGUGUCGGCAUGGGUGUGUCCCACCCUGACUGGUAGAUCGGCUGUGUAUAGGAGGGUGGUGGCUGGGAGCUGGAUCCGCCGAUGUCCCUGCCAGAAACACUACGCCUUCGCGCAGUUUCAGCUAUUUGCAGAUCAAAGGUUAGUCUCCCAGAGUUAUACAAGCGUAGACCCGGGUUAGGUAACCGGAUUACGUUUGUAUACCCUGGGAAAUAAAACACAAGACCGCCCGCAUUAUAUCUUUUCAAAUGGUGACCUUGGAUAAGAUAGGUUUCAUUAAUCAUGGUGCGUGGAAUUUGAAUAUAAUCAAGAUCUUGCCCUUCCAACGCACCAAUGGCAGUGGCCACACGUGUUAUGAGUGAAGUCAAAGAGAUAGGGGUGGUUGUCUUGAUUAUAUCUAACCAAUGCCUUACAAUUUCUUGCAUAGGCGCAACUUUUAUUCUAGCCGCGUAAAGUAACCUCAUUUCAUUUACUCGCACAACGCGGGUAUCCUGGCUAGGAAACAUUGUUAUGGAUAGCCAAAGGUGUAAAAACCUUAGAGUGGGGUGUUGGAUGUGGGCAUUUCUAGGAUAGUAUUUUCUAGUGUGAACUUGCCCCGUGAUUUCUUCCCAAAACUUAUCCUUAUUAAACCCUUUUGUGGCAUGCACUAAAUCAAGAGAGCAUCUUUGAUGAAAACCAAGGUAUUUGCUUAAGUCUUUCCAAAAGAUAGCAUAUUCAUUUCCAAAUAAACGAACAGAAAUACCUUCAUAUGUUUCUCUUAAAGUGCAUAGGAAUUGAAUGGUAAGGGUAUAGGAUCCAUACUCAGUUAUGGGGUGAAUGUUGUCCCACCCGGCGGCUUUCCAUAUGGAGAGGAAUUCAGAGUCCAUACCGAUGUCGGAGAGGAGCGAGUCGUCGUAGACCGGCGUAUGGAGGAAGAUCCAGUCCUUGAGCUUGUUGUAGGCUUGAUGUUCUCGAUCACCCACCAAGUCGAAUUGGUGGGCUCCUCCUUCUUCAUGUUGUUCCUCCUCUUGAUCCUCUUCCUCUUCCUCUACCUCCUCGAUCUCCGGGGAUUCUUCCUCAGCGGAAGGACUCCAUCGGGGAUCGAUGGAGUAUGAGGAAGUGCUCCGAUAGGGGCGCUUCGAGGAUGACCUCGUGACUCUUUUAAACGCCCCCAAAACUGUUUUGCCGAACCUUUUCAUGGUGCAAUGCUUGCACCAGUGGAUAGCUAGCUUGGAUAGGUGAUUUUUUUGUGAGGUUUCUGCUGGUGGUUGGUUGGAAAUAGCAAAGACGUGAAAGUGUUGCUUGGAGAGUGAAGAUGGAAGUGAUGAAGUGAGAAUGGGUGGAGAGGGCCACACCCGAACCCCUGGUAUUUAUAGUUUGAAAAUGCAGGUGGAUUCAGGGUGAGGGCAACGGCUAGGAGCCUCCCCCAGCUGGUCGUUGGCCAGAGCCGUUGGGGGGGGGUCGGCGGACCCUAGGGGCGGCCACCCCCUAGUGGGCCCCGCUGCUCCCCAGCUUUUGUCUCCAUCUUCCAACGGCUAGUUUUUGAAGUUUUCCAUUGGCAUAUUGAUGCACUUCCAGCUGAAAAAAUGACUUUUGCAAUUUCCAACAUUUAUUCGUAAAAUUUUUAUUUUCGAAAAAUUUAGAAAAAAUAUUUUUCUAUUAUUUUAUUUUAUUUCCUAGCUGAAAAUGAAUUUUUGAAUAUUUUUCAAUUUAUAUAUAUAUAUUUAAGAUAACUACCGAUUACCUUCGGCGGAGGCUCAAAAAAAUGUUUAUAGUCCUUUCUGAGAAGGACUCUCUUCCGUCGUUUGAAUUUCACCCUGCAUGGUUAGUGGGAGAGUUCUCGGGUUGCCCCGGGAGUCUACCCGCAUUCUCAGUAGGAAUUGCAGCGACGAUCUGAGCUAGUUGUGUUUCUAUCAUUUUAUUAAAGCUCAGUUGGUUUUGUACAGAAGAGGCAAGGUUUUCUAUUUUUGUAUUUAUGUUUUCUAAAUCCUUAUCAUUGGACAUCAACUUUUUAGUUAAGUUUUCAUUUAUUUUAGGUUGUCCAAGAACUAGGUCUUUUAAUGAAGGUUGAUUCGAAUUAAAACUCGAAUUACCUUGGAAUGAAGUGCGUGACUGAUUAUUCCAACCAUUACCUUGGUUGGCGCCUCCUUGUUGGAGGUACCCGUUGUUGAUGUAGGCAGCGUCUUCACGGGUUUCGGGGCAAUCAUUCCCCGAAUGGCCAACUUCUGCACAGACCUCGCACGUCAUGUGUGAGUCUAUGGCCUUCACCGAGUUCGAGGGGUUCUCUUGGUUCCUCUCGGUGAGUUGCUUCAUCAAUAAAUCUAUUUUUGCGGCAAGCAUAUCCGUCUCCUUCACGGUAUGCAUGCCUUUUUGUGUUUUGGCAGCUGGUGGUUGAGUUCUGUCCUCCCCCCAGCUCUGGUGUUCUACCAUCUUCUCGAUCAGGGCCUUGGCCACGGCGGUAGUAAGUGAUAGGAACGCGCCUCCAGCGGCGGCGUCUAGGUGUCCCUUCGACAUGGGUGUGAGCCCAUUGUAGAAGUUCUGGAGCACCAUCCAGUUCUCCAUGCCGUGAUGGGGGCAGCUUAGUAUGUACUCUUGUAGCCGCUCCCAUGCUUCAGGGAUCGUUUCACUGGCAUUUUGUUGAAAACUGGCAAUUCUUCCCCUUAAAGCAUUGGUUUUGCUUAUGGGGAAGAACUUGGCGAGGAAUGCCGUGGAGCAUUUUGCCCACGUGGUGACAGCUUCCUUAUCUUGAUAGAACCACCUCUUCACCUUCCCCACGAGGGAGAAAGGAAAGAGGCGGAGCCGAAUGACAUCAGGAGUGAUGUCCUUGAUGACAAUCGUUAGCUCCAGGAAGUGUUGAAGGUGUGCAUUCGCAUCCUCGCUUGGCAAGCCACAGAAUGGGCUCGCCUGCACCAUGUUGAUCAGGCCGGUGCGUAGCUCGAAGUUCUUGCCGGCCGUGUCAACAGCGAGGCCAGUGGCCACGUUGGUGACAGCGGGCACGGAGAACUUGCGGAGUGUCUUCUCGGCGGCCAUGAGUUUGUUCGGGGUUGGUGCGGUACCGGCUGGUUCACUUGUCGGUGGAGUAGCAGAAGACGAAACGGUUCGAGACCGUCUAGUCCUUAGGAGUGCCUCGGGAUCGGAGAUGUAGUUUUCCGGCAAAGAGAAACCAAGCAUACACUAUUCCUCCUGUUUCAUCCACAACAGGGAGAAAACAGGCAGAGUUUGCCUGCAUAACAAUUGACUCAUUACGCACAUCAGAUUACUUGAUUAUAUUUAUCUAGAAUCAUUUUCAUAUUAGCCUUCCCUGGCAACGACGCCAGAAAUGCUUGUUGGCAUUUCUUAACGUCAUCACUAAGAACAGGGUUUAAUCUGUCCUCAGCAACGAUGUCAGAAAUGUCAUGAUAACACUUACUAAUGCAAUCACCAAGAUUAGAGUAUAAAUCUAUCGUAAGCAACAGUGCCAGAAAUGCUUGUUAGCGUUUCUUAGCGUCGCUACCUAGAAUAGGGUUCUGCUCUACUCAUGAUAAUGACAUUGGCAAUGUUAUAUUGGCUGAUCCGUAGCAUCACCACCUUGAAUAGGAAGCUAGAUCUACCUUCCCGAUAACGGCGCCUUAUUACCGUUAGGGUAGGGUUCGAGUUCUUAAUCAUGGUAGUGGCACUAGGAUUGCCAUGUUGGUAUUCCUUAACAAGUCACUAGCUCGGCACAUGUCUAGCAACAGUGUUAAGUAUAUACCGGGGUGAUAGUUCCUUAGGUUUGGAGUUUAAGUACCGCAAGCGGACGGGAAUUAUCGUGUAGCAUUUCAACUCGGGGAUUUACCGAGUGUCAUAUUUAUAGGUUCACUCUAAGGAAGGCUUAAUAUGUUAAGGAUUCUAAGAUAAGCAUAGAUCAAAGUAAUUAUGAUAGCAAUAAUGGAAUCAAGGGUCAUAGCAGGUGAUAAACAUUUAUAUGUAGAAUAGUGAUCCAUCACAAUCUAGGCAUGACAUAUGGGCUAAGGAAUAAAAAGAGACUAAAAGAAUGAAUUGAAUCAAAGAGUAAACAAACAACCUAUUGGAGCAGGAGUUGUCCAAGAUACAGAUCAUGUCAUAGAACCAGUUAAUCAUGUAAUUAUACUACUUAGAUCUAGUCCUGUGUUUAGAUGGUUUGGGAGGUUACGCGAGUACUGGUCUGCCAGCAAUCUCCGCAACUAUUUAGACUCCUACACCCUAGCCGAACGUGGGGGAAUGCCAAGGACGGACAGGGCUGUCACUACCUGCCGCCAUCCCCUCAACCGUGGACUAGGACAAUGCAUUUACCCAGCCUUUAUACCCAAGCACCAUUCUUACAUGCAAAGAACCUACUCGGACUCCCCCGGGUCCCCGACCCUACGGAUCGACAGGUAAGAAGCCCGAGCCUACUCAAAAGAGCAUGAUAAACCCCCAUCUUCACACAAAGCUAUUUCUAGGCAAUUAAUUAACAUGAAGCAAUUAGACUAAAGUCCUAAGUGAGAAUAAUACAACAUACACUUAGCACUAGUUCAUAUAAUACACUACUAGCCCUAGGGUAGCAUUAUACUAUAAGAACUAUAUACUAAAAUGUAUGUCAUAUCAUUUUCACUAGAACUAUAUUCUAGUUCAUAUGCUAGCAUCAUAAAAGAGGGCCUAUGAUCUAUGUCAUAUACCAUAGCAUAAGAACUAUACUCUAGUUCAUAUGAAGAACUAUAUCGGACAUGAUAAGGCAUGGACUUGGAGUAAAGAUAUUCUUUAUUCAUACCCAAGUUUCUCUCCAAGGAGCCAAGCCCUCCUUGAUAGCUCACCCAACUCUCUCUCUAAAAGCUAAAAGGAAAAACUAAGAAGAGGUAGUGCCCAAGUGCCUUGAAGGUGGAGUGUUGAUUGUGAAUGUGAUGAGAUGAUUGGAGCCUCCCUCUCCCCCUCCUUAAAUAGGUGGGGAAGGUCGGUUCCCCAGGGUGUAAACUGCAAUUUGCACGCGGGAACUGCGGGAGGAUAGGCUCAGCACCGCCUCUGCGAAAGGCGGUGCCGAGAUGGGCUGGGUCAGGGUCGGCCGACCCUAGGGGGCGGCUGCCCCCUGGUGGGCCCCGCUGGCCCCGGCCCGAAGCCCAUUGCCUUCCUCUUGGUCCCUUGAGUCGAGAUCCACAUGGAAAUUGAUGCACUUCUAUAUUGGGCUUUUGGGUACUUGUUUAUUUGCGCAUUUUUUGACGUGUCGGAUUGUGCCUUUUUAUUUGCUUUCCACCUGUAUGCCUGUAUAUGAUCUGCAAAACACAACUUGCACUACAUGUGGAACUUGGUAAGCAUUUAAUAAGUAUAUGUGAGUAAAAUACAUGCUUUUCUUCCUUUGCAUG
rnacentral:lncRNA from 1 species